UGCUCUCCUCGGGGGCCGCCCCUUUGGUGCCAGGCCGCAGCCAACGCAGCUCCCGGAUCCCGCCUCCUCUUCCUUCCCCCCGCCCUCUCUUACCUUUCAGGCACGAGAAGGGGGGCCGAGGAGGACCAGCUGUUCCGCACGCAUGCGUAAGACCGCUGGCUCACGGGAUUUGUAGUCCCGGAGCUUCCCGCAGCAAAAAGUGAGGCCAUGCCGUGAACCGCAACUCCCGCCGUUCACUGCGGCCGGGUCGCGAUUGCAGACGAGGCCGAUCUAGACAACUCGCCGUCAAGUACAGCAAAUCGGCUGAUGGGAAAGAUGGCCGCAGCCAUGAAACCAGCAGCCAGGAGCUUCUUCUGAGUCUCCCAUGUGGGUGCAGGGCCCAAGCACUUGGACCAUCUUCUGCUGCUUCCCCCGGCCAUAGCAGAAGGAGUAGCUGGGACUCAAGCCCACCACCACAAUGCAGGUCCCCAACUCUCAAGUCUUAACAUUAAUGGAUGCUGGAUCCAGUGUGGAGAUUUGAUCUAACUGUGGCAACUCGGAGGUGGGGCCUGUGGGAGGUCGUUUGGUUCCUGGGACAUGCCCUCAGCAGAUGCCAGACUCUGGGGCUGCCUGAUCCUGAACUGUUGCUGAAAUAACCCUCAUCUUUCCCAAAGGAGCUCCUCCCAGGGGUUUGGCGAAGAGCUGAAAGGAUUUCACCCUGAUGCGCACACUACUGAGUGACCCCGCUCACCAGCGGCUCCGCUGAUUGCUUUGCACCUUGCAGACGCCGCAAUUGGCUCAGCCUCUCCGCCCGCCUCGCCUCCCUCCCUGGUCCUCGGCCCUCCCCGCCUGGAAGCAGGAAGAAAGGAGACUUCACGGAGGAGUCACAAGGCCAAGGAGCAGGGGAACGGAUGCGACUUGAGGACGAGCGACACAGACGGCCUUGCUGGAUGUCCACUGGCGCUCAUGCACACAUGUGUGCAUGGCAGUACUGCCAUGCAUCUGUGCCCACCGUCACACCCGUGCACACUGGCAGCGCUCCCCUGGAAGGCCUCGACUGUGUCUUACUUGUAUUUAAGGAGUGGAGGAAGGAGCCAGAGGAGACCAGGCCCUGAGUCCUGUCGGCCUGCAUUAACAAGAAGCCGAAGUCAGAAUCCGAUCUGAAUACUCCAAUUUGUGGGAGGUUGAACUGGGCAUCUUGCGUUGUCGUCUGCUGAAUCUGGCAACCCUGCCCUACCCCCACCUCGCUGUGGGCCUCAGCAGUCCUGUGGAUCCGCUGAGGAAGGCAGUGCCCCUGAGUGCAAGAGCCAGAUUCUCUGCUUGAUAUCCGAGCGGCUUUGGACCUGUUUUUAACCAACCUAGCGCCUCAAUUUCCUCAUCACAGCAACAGAAGUUCCACAACUCUGCCUCGGUGCAGAUCCAGCUUGGUGAAGGGAAGAAGCAGUGUGCACGGCAAGGGUUCUGGACUCACCACCUGUUUGAUCUCGGACUCUCACAGAAGGGUCCAGUGAUCACCCGAGAACUCCGGAGUGGGCCUUAAUUCCUCUACGCAGCCACCAGCUAAAAAUUCAGGACGUUCAACAAAAUCUCCUGAAAUCUCUGGGUCCUGGAAGAGACCGUUGAAGCUUCAUCUCUACCAUUUCCCUCUAGGCGAGGGUGACCUUCCUCAUGCAGACAGAGCAGGGAGGGGACCCCACCCUGGUGUCAGGAGGUGAGCUCCCGUUGCAGCGGCUGAAGUACCUGUUGGUUAAGAGCUCCACCAGGAUGUGUGAGGACCACUCCGAGGAGACCUCCCUGGGUUCCUCCCCAGGGGGCCAGGCCAUAGGGCGGAAGCCCUAAGCAUUCGGGCCACGAUCCCAGAAGGACCUUAAGAGGGGAUAUAAAGUUCGGGGGUUUUCCCUGCUUCUUCCGGCCCAUUCCACCUUUGGCCAGCGGUGCUAGAACUUAGGCAAUCUCUUCUUGAGCUUAAUCAUUUCAGCAAAACAGAAGAAGAUCAAUCAGUUGCACUAAAUGAAUGAAAAUAAAUUAAGAU